UGCAACAGAUGCAACAACAAUGCAGUAAAAAAUGAUUAUUACACAAUUUUGAGAUGAAGCCCAAACCUCAGUAAUUGUCAAACAGACCAGUGUACUGCAAUUCUUUUGAAAACUUAGAAUACCUAGAUGAAUGACUAUCAAGCUUCUAACAUCACUAAAUGGUGCCUGCAACCACGCCACUCCGCCAAACUAUUGUGCCAAAAAAAAAUGUUGUUAAACUAGUACUACAGCAAUAAUGAGAGUACCAGACUCCAUUUUUAUGUCCAGAAACACAGGUAUAUCAGAUGUAAGCGUAUAAAGGGGGCGCCUCUUCAUGCUAACUAAAGUAGUAAUCAAAAUUAUCUUGAACAAUUUUUUUUCUUUUAAAGAGAACAUUAUAGUUGCUUUAUAAUUAAAAAGAUAAAAAUGAAUGAGCUUUCACAGAACACUUUGCAAGGAGUUGAAAAAGCCAAAACCUCUAUCACUAUCAGGGGUCAAGCACCCUGCUUGCUAACCUGCACUUAAAUAUCUAGAAUGUAAUUGUUUAUGAGUAAGCAAGCGAAUGAAAUACUAAUCUUACUAUCCUCUUUGGAAAUGGAUUGGGGGAUCAUGAGACAUUGGCUAUAGAUUUUGAACAUUAACUUUCAAUAUAUGAGAAGUGAAAAAAUACAAGCAUAUGAACACCAUUCUGAGUUAUGUUCAAGACAUAACAAUGGAUAGCAAACACUUACCAGGAACACAUCCAUAAUGGAUCGAAUCAGCUAUGCGAGCACUAUUGACCUGAGAACCACCAGGGCAUAUGCAGAAUUUAGUCGUGUAAAAUCUCUUUUGAUACACUAGAUGUCCUGUAGCCCUACUUAUUCUGUUGUUUGAAAUAUCAAGCUCUGUAUCAUUUUCCCACACGCGUGCCAAAAUAACUCUUAUUUUGGAGUUUCUAUGACCUGCCCAAAAACCAAGUGUUGUCCUGCAAAGGAUGCUUCUUCUUGAGCAAUGAACUUAAGAAAGAGUGAUUUUUGUUUUAAUAUCCUUUCAGCUUAUGCAUCAUACAUUAAUUGACAGCAGCUAAUCAGGAAAAAACUCUGGGGAUACUCUAAAAAACAUCUUUUUUAAUACCAAUUGUGUUGAAGAUUCCAGAAAUUACAUUCAUCAUUAAGAAGUGAUGAAAACUGCAGUUAAUCCGAGUUCUUUUUGGUAGCAAUGCUGUCCAACAAAAUCUUGACCAUAUUUUCCAAGCCAUAUAUUAAGGGAAAGAGACUGAAGGCUGCCAAUGAAAUAAGAAGUGGAGUAGGGAACUUGAGAAAACUAUUGAAUGGGUCCAGGUUUGCAACACAACCAGAAUACAAGUGAAUUGAGCUCUUAAAUUUCAGUGAGCAUUUGAGUUAGAUAAUAUUAACUUGCACAUAUUGCAAAACACAGAUAGAGUUGGUAACAUAAUCAGGAGACAACUGAACAGCACCUCUAACUUGAAUGUUCACAAGUUCAUAUUUCAUGAUGUUACCUGUUUACUACAUCGUUUCCUCCAGCUGGAAGGGCAAAUGGCUGCAGUACUUGAGGAAGAGCAACAUCUUUGUGAGGAAUGAAUCCAACAUCAUAACUUGGGGAGCACACAACUCGUAUUGCAUUCUUUACAAGAAAUGGAACUCCUUCAGUUGCCCUGACACCAACAUCAUGACAAGUAACAAAGAAGUGAUCUGCACCCAAUGUUCUGUUCCAAUAGGGAUACUUGGCUAUUAAGCUCUCCACAUAAUUCUGAAAUAUUAUGGUCAUAUUCUCAUAAGAUGUGCCCUUGCCUCGCAUCUUGUGGCAGGAGAUGGGGAUAAAGAAGAGGUGAGCUUGAUUAGGAUCCUCAGUCCGGAAGCGACUCUCUCUGAUAUUCUGGAAAAAAUAGCCCUCGCUAGCGUACUUGCCAGUCAAUUUCCUAGGUGUUUGAUAAAAGGUGUUGGGAUCCCCAUCGGGAUAUAUAUAAACCUUGAAGUUUCUCUCCAUUGCCUCAUAAUUCAAUUUGAAAAUCUGAGGCUGGUGGUACAGAUCUGGCAUCUCAUUGUCAAAUGAUUUCCCAUUCUCUUUCGUCUCUGCGUCUGUAUCCGUAUCUGUCUCGGUCUCUAUAUACGUCCCUCUCUGUAGCUGCUUUACAACGGAACCGGAGGCCAGAGGAGAAAGGGAGGGGGACGAUGAAGAGGAGGAUUGGAGAGAAUUGAUGGAAAGGUAAGCGAAUGAGAUUAGGGUUAGGAUAGC
rnacentral:misc_RNA from 1 species